GUCACCCUCACUUUCCCAAACCCCCGAGGAUCCACCUCGGCGGAGCCCUUCACCCUCGCUCCCGACGGCAGCGAUCGGAGUUCGGUCUACGUUGCCUUCUCCCUGCGUCGAUUUGAAAUCCUCGCCUAGCUACUUCUUUUGUAUUUCUGUUCUCGGGCGAGGGAGAUGGGGUUCCGGAGUUUAGUACGGGAGGCUGAUUGCUUUUGAGAGGUUGGGUCUUCUGCAGGCCACAAAGACAAGCCGGACGUUCUUGUAGACGAUUAUGAUGGCUCCGCGUGCAAUUCACGCCAAAUUAAUGAUGCAGAAGGUUGAGAUGGAGUUACUAGAAUGUCUUCCUUUCUGUAUGGCCCCUGCAUGUGAGCAUAAGAUUGAUAGUUUAUUUAUGCCUUGUUAUGAUGAAUCCUGAUAGCCUCAGAUCAUUAGCUGCUACAUGGUUUCAGAAGAUCACCAUCACAGCUUACUGGAUGAUAUGUGGUAUUCUUUUCUCAUCAAAAUUAUUGUUGUCGGGGAAGAUGCCGAAAGAAUAUUAGUUCUCUGUCCUUAGUAGAUCAUUUCACUAGCACUUUUAUUUCAAGCAUUUCAAGCUCCAUAAAUUCCUAAAAAUGUUGUCAGGAUCCGUUGUUUGUGUUGCUGCCUACUCUAUGCUCUUCCAGCGGCAGCACGCGUUUCUUUGAGGUCAUCCCACUUUGAAUCCAGCAGAGCUGUCUGUAUUCCCCGUCCCAGCCUACAGUUGUUUUCUUACUCAAUGACGCGGGAGACAGCAAUAUAGAUUCACACUCAUCAUCUUUGUCCUCUCGUGCUGGUCCAAGUUCCAACCAAUCAUAGGUCUUAUAUGCCUGCACCCGAAGACAUUCAAGAUCUCCACAGUUUCCAGAUGGAAACAUGACAUGGAGGACAGACAUCUUAUUCGCUUAAAGGGGAAAGAAUUAUAGAAUUUCCUACAAAGGAUCAGACUAAUUUGCUCUCCCACUAUGAUGCACAGCCUCAUCUUGAUCUGAUCUCAUGUGGACUUCAACAAACAACGAGAGAUAUCUGGCAAAGAGAAAGUGAUGGACACAAGGAAGAAGAAGUAAUGGCUCAGAUGAACAUUGCAUGCACUUCCGUGUAAGUUUGACUCUCCCAUUGAUUUCGGACUUGCUUCGCAUGCUUGUGUUGCAUUGGGCUGAUCUUUUUUUAUGAUAAAAAUUUAAGCUUAGGAUAUAAACACACUUCAAUGAGAACCUGUUCUUAGUCUACCAUUCCUAGGGACCAUCAAGACCUUCGUGGUGGCCACCAUGGUUUCCAACUCCCAGCCCGACCUGUGACACCAACCUCCAAAGCCUCUCCAUUGAUGUCUUUGUCCUGAUGCUGCGGGCAUGGCGGGUUUAAUAAAGAGGUAGCAAAGGCACGAGGAUUGGAGGUCAUUCUCUGUGCUUAUCUACGGCUCUGUGCGCUCCAUGAGAGAGAGAGAGAGAGAGAGAGAGAAGCAUUGUUGGCCUGCACGCAAAAGGUUGGCUGCUUUUGAGACAGCUGCCAUAAAGACGUGCCUGCAAUGGGAUGGAGACUGAGAGGAUGAGGAAAAGAGAGCAGAGCCUUGAAUGGUGGAGUUGUUAUCCAUGGGGAUCAGGGAACCAUGGGGGGUGCUGUGGUUUGGGUUCAACAGGGGCUACUGGGCCAUGGAGAUGUGUACAAAUAGGAAAGUGAAGGGGAACACCACCAAGGUAGAAUGUGGGACUCAGAGCACAUGCCUUGUCAACCGCGCAUUGGACAAAGGCCUAACUCACUUCAGUGAUGAUAGAAGAAGGAUAAUAUUUAUAAUGUCAGAUUGGAAAUGAUAGAAUAGAAGGAGAAAAAUGAAUGACUCGGAGAUAGUAAAUUCCAAGUUAUUUUUACUAGAUAGUAAUAUUUGCUCGCAUAUCCGUGCAUGGAUCGAUGUCAAUUUGAAAAGAACAAGAGAACAAUAUCAGUCGAGGACGUGCUAUAUAUAUGUAUGAGAAAAAGAUCCGAUGCUUCUUAUGAAUCAUGAAACAGAUAUGAGUUCAAGCGUGCAUACAAGACGUGGAGCACAAAAUAGUAUAUUUAGAAAUGAUGCUUUCCCUUCUUUGAUUAAUGACAGUGACGUGGGGAAGCCAAGACUUGUUUUUCUGAGACCACCUUGUCCUCUGCAGUAGACACAAGUUAUACUGUGAUGUGUACUCGUUGUCAGCAUACAGUACUGUCAAAGCGGUAACGCUCGAUCCUCAGCCCCCCCCGUCUGCGCUGUGCAUUGUACCUUCGCUAAGCAUCAGUGGAGACACUGUUGAUUCACGUGCACUCUCUCUCUCUCUCUCACAUCUUGCAAUUUUGAUCGGCAGGCAGGAGCAUCCACGGUCACCGAGCCACCUUGUGAGAGGACAACCUUCGUGCCUGGCUCCUGCACCAGCUGUGCUAUUGGUAAGCAAGCUCAUCCUUCCAUUCCACAUGGUUGGAGGUAAGUCACUGGAAAAGGUUAAAAGGAAAAUGACACUUCUUCAUUUCUUUUAUUACUUGGUACAUAGCAAGAGAAACAGUGCUGCCUGUGGUUCCAAAAUAUCCCCUAAAAUUAAUAAUAUUUAAUUCUUAAAUGUGUUCGAAUGGGUACGUACCGACUAGAGAAAGAGAAUGCACAAUGAACUCUGAAGUUGAGUCUUCACUAAUUCAAUAGACAAUUCUGUUCUUUUUAUUUUAUUGUUCUCACUUAGUGAAAUUUUGAUUUUUUUUUUCUUUUGGUUCCUGUGGACCUCAUACAAAGGUGUCGCAAUCACGUCAAUCUUGUUAGGUCUGUGUUUUAUUCUGGAUCAUUAUUUUAAGCAUUAGUUUUCAUCAUCUCUCACAAUAUGUAUAUACAUGGUUUUCAAAUUGAGGACUUCUUUCUUCAAAAAAGUUACAUUUGGUUUUAGCUGUUCAUUGGAUUCAGUUCACUGUCAGAACAAUUGAACACAGAAUGACCACAAUGAAAGUGCACAAUGAACAAGUACAUAAAUUACAGAUUCAAACAAUGAAACAAGUUCUGGGAGCAAACAUCAAGCAGUUGAACCACGAUCUCCAAAGCCUACUUAAGCAUACACCAAAACAAGUAAGAACUUAAUAUACCGUAUAUUUGUUGCAGAUGAGAUCUUGUUUUGUAAGCUUAAAGCAUCCAAGAUCAAAAUAUACAAACUAGGCAUCUCCGUCAGAUGACAAGAGCACAAGCUACACCCACAUCUUCUUUGUUGCUUCCAUCCGUUCCAGCAAACUUGCAAUCUCAGCUUGCAUCCUCAUCUUCAUGUUUUGAUAAUCACAAUGAGAGUUCUCUAGAAACUUCAGUUCCUCCAGCUUCUUCCUACGCCUCUCUUCGGUCUCCUGCAGGCACAGUUUUGCAAUCUUGGUGGCGUACUCUUCCUCCAACUUCUCAGACUUGGCACGGACUAUCUGGCGGUAACCCUCGACUUCUCUCCUGGCAUCAUCUGCCAGUUUCUGGAAGAGCUUCGCCUCUGCCUCUUUGCAUUUCACAAUGGUCUCCAAACUUUUAUAUCCGUCAUCCUUUGACGAACUGAAAUGGGGUUCGAAUGCAAAAGGUUUGGCAUCUGCUUUUAGUGCAUCCAUCUGUUUGUCUAGCAUGGCAGUGGCAGGGCUGAAGUUGAUGGUAGAUUUUGCCACAUUGAUGGCUGCCGCGGAUGGAAGAGGUGUAUCUACAUGCUGGGUUGCUAGAGCAAGUAUGUUUUUGGAGGAGCUUCCAGUAACGGAGAACUCUGUGACUCCGUCUGAAAAAUUGAACAUAGUCAACAGCUAGCACUAGAUACUUGAACGCAAACACUCAGACAAUUCCAGGAGGCACAGAUCAUUUUUACAUGUAGCACAACAAUGUAUUUCAGACUACAUAAACACCAAGGAAGACACAUAAUAUUGUUUUAAUUAGUUGCAAAAGUAGUGGAUAUGUUUCUCUCUA